rnacentral:rRNA from 1 species
CCUACGGGGGGCUGCAGUGGGGGAUAUUGCACAAUGGGGGAAACCCUGAUGCAGCGACGCCGCGUGAGUGAAGAAGUAUUUCGGUAUGUAAAGCUCUAUCAGCAGGGAAGAAAAUGACAGUACCUGACCAAGAAGCCCCGGCUAACUACGGGCCAGCAGCCGCGGUAAUACGGAGGGGGCAAGCGUGAUCCGGAUUUACGGGGUGUAAAGGGAGCGUAGGCGGUUAUGUAAGUGUGGAGUGAAAGGCCGGGGCCCAACCCCGGGACUGCUUUGGAAACUGUGUGACUAGAGUACAGGAGGGGCAGGCGGAAUUCCUGGUGUAGCGGUGAAAUGCGUAGAUAUCAGGAGGAACACCGGCGGCGAAGGCGGCCUGCUGGACUGAAACUGACGUUGAGGCACGAAAGCGUGGGGAGCAAACAGGAUUAGAUACCCGUGUAGUC